rnacentral:misc_RNA from 1 species
GAUGAAGAACGCAGCGAAAUGCGAUAAGUAAUGUGAAUUGCAGAAUUCAGUGAAUCAUCGAAUCUUUGAACGCACCUUGCGCCCUUUGGACAUUCCGAAGGGCAUGCCUGUUUGAGUAUCAUGAACACCUCAACUCUCACGGCUUGUCCGUGAUGAGCUUGGACUUUGGGGGUCUUGCCGGCCUGUGGUCGGCUCCUCUCAAAUGGAUCAGCUUGCCAGUGUUUGGUGGCAUCACAGGUGUGAUAACUAUCUGCGCUUGUGGGUUUCCAUCAGAUAACCUUCAGUGAUAUGGAGGUUCGCUGGAGCUCACAAAUGUCUCUCCUUAGUGAGGACAGCUCUUUGAACGUUUGAUCUCAAAUCAGGUAGGACUACCCGCUGAACUUAAGCAUAUCAAUAAGCGGAGGA